rnacentral:rRNA from 1 species
GAUGAACGCUGGCGGCGUGCCUAAUACAUGCAAGUCGAGCGAACAGACGAGGAGCUUGCUCCUCUGACGUUAGCGGCGGACGGGUGAGUAACACGUGGAUCACCUACCUAUAAGACUGGGAUAACUUCGGGAAACCGGAGCUAAUACCGGAUAAUAUAUUGAACCGCAUGGUUCAAUAGUGAAAGACGGUUUUGCUGUCACUUAUAGCUGGAUCCGCGCCGCAUUAGCUAGUUGGUAAGGUAACGGCUUACCAAGGCAACGAUGCGUAGCCGACCUGAGAGAGGGAUCGGCCACACGGGAGCUGAGACGCGGUCCAGACGCCUACGGGAGGCAGCAGUAGGGAAUCUUCCGCAAUGGGCGAAAGCCUGACGGAGCAACGCCGCGUGAGUGAUGAAGGUCUUCGGAUCGGAAAACUCUGUUAUUAGGGAAGAACAAAUGUGUAAGUAACUAUGCACGUCUUGACGGUACCUAAUCAGAAAGCCACGGCUAACUACGUG